rnacentral:rRNA from 1 species
UACGUAGGGGGCAAGCGUUGUUCGGAAUUACUGGGCGUAAAGCGCGCGUAGGCGGUUUGGAAAGUCAGAUGUGAAAGCCCCGGGCUCAACUUGGGAACUGCAUUUGAUACUGCCAGACUAGAGUACAGAAGAGGUGACUGGAAUUCCCAGUGUAGCGGUGAAAUGCGUAGAUAUUGGGAGGAACACCAGUGGCGAAGGCGGCUAACUGGUCCAGCACUGACGCUGAGGUGCGAAAGCGUGGGGAGCAAACAGG